rnacentral:rRNA from 1 species
GCUUAACACAUGCAAGUCGAACGGUAACAGGGAUAGUUCGCUAUCUGCUGACGAGUGGCAAACGGGCGAGUAACACGUGCUUGACCUACCUUAAGGUAAGGAACAACUUUGGAAACAAAGCUAAUUCCUUAUAUGCUCUUAAAUUUUAAAUAAUUAAAGAGAAAAGAUUAUCGCCUUAAGAGGGGGGUGCGGAUCAACAGUUAGUUGGUGAGGUAAAUGCUCACCAAGACGAUGACGGAUAGCCGGCCUGAGAGGGUGAUCGGCCGCAACGGGACUGAGACACGGCCCGUACUCCUACGGGAGGCAGCAGUGAGGAAUUUUGGACAAUGGAGGAAACUCUGAUCCAGCUAUUCUGCGUGAAGGAUGAAGCUUUUCGGAGUGUAAACUUCUUUUCUGGGGGAAGACGAAUGACGGUACCUCAAGAAUAAGAGGCGGCUAACUAUGUGCCAGCAGCCGCGGUAAUACAUAGGCCUCAAAUGUUACCCGGAGUUACUGGGCGUAAAGGGUCCGUAGCCGGAUAUGUAAGUCUAUCUUCAAAAACUGAAGCUUAACUUCAGGGAGGGGGUAGAUACUGUAUAUCUAGAGAUAGAAGGGGGUUAGUGGAAUUUCCGGUGGAGCGGUGGAAUGUGUUGAUAUCGGGAAGAAUGCCAAAAGUGAAGACAGCUAACUACUACUAAUCUGACGGUGAGUGACGAAAGCAUAGGUAUCAAAUAGGAUUAGAUACCCUAGUAGUCUAUGCUGUAAAUGAUGUAUGCUAAGUAUUGGUUUGACAGC